rnacentral:rRNA from 1 species
UACGGGGGGGGGCAAGCGUUGUUCGGAAUUACUGGGCGUAAAGGGCUCGUAGGUGGUCAACUAAGUCGGACGUGAAAUCCCUCGGCUUAACCGGGGAACUGCGUCCGAUACUGGAUGACUUGAGUUCGGGAGAGGGAUGCGGAAUUCCAGGUGUAGCGGUGAAAUGCGUAGAUAUCUGGAGGAACACCGGUGGCGAAGGCGGCAUCCUGGACCGACACUGACGCUGAGGAGCGAAAGCCAGG